rnacentral:rRNA from 1 species
AAUUCCGGAAACGAGCGCCAACCCUNNCCUUAUUNGCCACAAAUGGGGGUAGUCCCCAGNGAGCCGCCGUUAAUAAACCAGAAGAGGGUGGGGAAGNNGNNAAGUCCUCAUGCCCCUUACGAGUAGGGAUACACACGUGAUACNAUGGCGCAUACAGAGGGCGGCCAACUNGNGAAAGUGAGCGAAUCCCAAAAAGUGCGUUGUAGUCCGGAUUGGAGUCCGCAACUCGACUCCAUGAAGUCGGAAUCGCUAGUAAUCGUGGAUCAGAAUGCCACGGUGAAUACGUUCCCGGGCCUUGUACACACCGCCCGUCACACCAUGGGAGUGGGCUGCAAAAGAAGUGGGUAGUUUAACCUUGGGGAGGACGCUCCCCACUUUGUGGUUCAAGAGUGGGGUGAAGUAGUAACAAGAUCCGAGAAGGGAAUUCAGCNCACAUGGCGCGCC